CUGCUGCCUUCCGUAGGAGUUUGGCCGUGUCUCAGUCCCAAUGUGGCCGGUCCACCCUCUCAGGCCGGCUACUGAUCGUCGCCUGGUGGGCCGUUACCCCGCCAACAAGCUAAUCAGACGCGGGUCCAUCUUACACCACCGGAGUUUUUCACACAAAUCCAUGCGGCUUCGUGCGCUUAUGCGGUAUUAGCACCUAUUUCUAAGUGUUAUCCCCCAGUGUAAGGCAGGUUACCCACGCCGUUACUCACCCGUCCGCCACUAAGUAA
rnacentral:rRNA from 1 species